rnacentral:tRNA from 1 species
GCGCCCAUGACGUAGCGGCAGCGUACUGCUCUGCCAGGGCAGGUGUGCGGGUUCGACUCCCGCUGGGCGCA